UUUUUUUUUUUUUAAGAGAGAGAGAGAGAGAGGGCUUGGGGUUUAAGCACGAUAUCUAAUUUGUGAAUGUCAUAUGGAAUUCACUGAUCUGCACCCUUUAUGGUGUACUCUAUAUAAAUACUCCUUCACUUACCACAAGAAAACUAUAGGAAAGAAGAUGGUAUAGAAAAUGUUUUAUGGGUAAUGAAUCUUGUGUGCCAUUGCUUAUUUCUGGAACUAAUUUUUGAACUGCUAAACAUUAUAAGCUGUGUAAUCUGUGUUUUUAAAUAUAUAAAUUUUGCUUCUCUGUAUAAGUUGUGAUAUUCCUUUUGAUAUUUUUCCUUUUCAUUAGGCUAUAAGGUUCUUGCACUUCUUAUUAGUUACACCCAGCAUCUUUGUUACCUAUUUGUUAUUCUGUUGACUCUUGAGAGUUUUUGAGGCAGCAUGUUACUUCUGAAAUACCCUACCAAAUAGCUGCAAACUCAAGACUUCUCUUAGCCAGAGUUUAAGUGGAUCUUGUUUCACAUCUUACACUCAUAUUCUAUCUCUUUUUGGUCGGGCCAUUUUUUGGUGUAAUGCAGAGAUUCAUUGUUAAUUUGCUCUAGGUGAUUUUUUUU